UACGUAGGGGGCAAGCGUUGUCCGGAAUCAUUGGGCGUAAAGCGCGUGUAGGCGGCCCGGUAAGUCCGCUGUGAAAGUCGGGGGCUCAACCCUCGGAUGCCGGUGGAUACUGUCGGGCUCGAGUACGGAAGAGGCGAGUGGAAUUCCUGGUGUAGCGGUGAAAUGCGCAGAUAUCAGGAAGAACACCCGUGGCGAAGGCGGUUCUCUGGGCCGAUACUGACGCUGAGACGCGAAAGCGUGGGUAGCAAACAGG
rnacentral:rRNA from 1 species